AGCCUGAACGCUGGCGGCGUGGCUAAGACAUGCAAGUCGUACGGAUGUAGCAAUACAUCAGUGGCGAACGGGUGAGUAAUGAAUCGCUAACGUGCCCCGGACUCUGGGAUAGCCGGUCGAAAGGCCGGGUAAUACCAGAUGAUAUACCUUUAUCGCAUGAUAGAGGUCUCAAAGGUCCGCCGGUCUGGGAGCGGGCGAUUUCGUAUCAGCUAGUUGGUGAGGUAACGGCUCACCAAGGCGACGACGCGUAGCCGGACUGAGAGGUUGGCCGGCCACAUUGGGACUGAGACACUGCCCAGACUCCUACGGGGGGCUGCAGUAACGAAUCUUCCGCAAUGCACGAAAGUGUGACGGAGCGACGCCGCGUGUGGGACGAAGCCCUUCGGGGUGUAAACCACUGUCAGAGGAAAGAAAGUUCUGAUCUACCUCAGAGGAAGAGGCGGCUAACUCUGCGCCAGCAGCCGCGGUAA
rnacentral:rRNA from 1 species